CAGGGGCCUGUUGCACAAAAGUAGAAUUAAGACAUCCAGGCUAAAUGACUGAGCUGAGCUCAAUGAAGCCAAAACAAGUGCGUCCAGGCUUAAUUGGUUGCACAAAGACCAAGCCAGGAUGAUCAGACACGGAUUCAUCAAGCCAGGUGAAACCAAUCCUGGAUAGGUGCGCGCUCACGGAUCACUCAACUAGACCCCGCCACCGAUCACAGAUUCACCGAUUCACCAUGGCAACUAGAGCGGCGUUCUUUUCCCCGUCAGAGGCACAAAUCCAUACGAGGGGGUAAAAUACAUAAUUAAGAAGAAAGGCAACACCGCCACAGUGAUAAAGCAAAGAGAAAAAGCGUGGCAAAGUAUUGCAGACUGCCUGAAUGCGUAAGUAGUGCACAAUUACACACUCACCACUCCGCUGAAACAUCACAAUUACAAUUAAAAUAUUUAAUUCACAUCUCCAAAAACGCAAUUGUACUCUGAUAAUAAAACAGUUCAUUUUUUUAUUGAAAUGGACUUCAAAUAUGAGUAAAAUUGUGUAAAGUAACUCCAUCACACUGGAUAAGGCUUCAAUAAAUUAUAAUGAAAGCCUUACAUUAUUACUACGCUCAUUAUGUACUCUGCUUCUUAUGUUGUCCACCGUUGACUUUUUUCUGCUUUUAUUAAUGUAAAGCUGCUUUGAAACAAUUGUGAAAAGCGCUUUAUAAAUAAAAUUUAAUUGAAUAAAUAGAUGAGCUAUUAAUAAUAAUCAAUUUAAUUUAUAAAGCGCCUUUCAAAGGAUCCAAGGCCACUUGCUCAUUGCACUGCAAAAAAUGACUUUCUUCGUGUUUUUGUCUUGCUUUCAGUAAAAAUAUUAAAAGAUUCUUAAAUUAAGAUGUAUUAAACAUUUACUUGAAAUAUACUUUUUCAUAAACAAUUAUUUUAAAACAAAUUUUCAUAUUCCAUUGGCUGAUUUUUUCCCUUAUUUUCCUAGGUCAUUUUGCUCAUCAAGAAAAUACAUCUUAAUUUAAGAAUUUUUUUAUAUUUUUACUGAAAAAAGGACAAAAAUAAAAAGUAAGUCAUUUUUUUGCAGUGUGACUCCAUUGAAUGUUCUUGUGUGAUAAAGAGAGUCUCUCUUUUUGUGUGUGGUGUGUGUGUGUGUGUGUGUGUGUGUGUGUGUGUGUGUGUGUGUGUGUGUGUGUGUGUGUGUGUGUGUGUGUGUGUGUGUGUGUGUGUGUGUGUGUGUGUGUGUGUGUGUGAUGUAGAUUAAAUAUGACCGGGCCAAAAUGGACAUGGCAGCAGGUCAAAAUCCAAUACAAGAACAUUCUGCAGAAUGCAGUGAAAAAGAAUACCCAGAGACAAGGCACGGGUGGUGGGUCACCAAAAGCUGACCUCACCCCAGCAGAGGCCAGCUUUGGAGCUAAAUGGCAGGCCUGUUGGAGGGGAUCCCUGGGGGAAAAGAGACAAGCAUAGGUCCCUCCCAAGAUGCCACCCGCUUCAUACAAGUGUCUGGCAGCACUGUGUUACUGUUAGAGCCACCAGCACGAGCACCAGACGAU